rnacentral:ncRNA from 1 species
CCUUGUCGGGUAAGUUCCGACCCGCACGAAUGGCGUAACGAUGGCCACACUGUCUCCUCCCGAGACUCAGCGAAGUUGAAAUGGUUGUGAAGAUGCAAUCUCCCCGCUGCUAGACGGAAAGACCCCGUGAACCUUUACUGUAGCUUUGCAUUGGACUUUGAAGUCACUUGUGUAGGAUAGGUGGGAGGCUUAGAAGCAGAAACGCCAGUUUCUGUGGAGCCGUCCUUGAAAUACCACCCUGGUGGCUUUGAGGUUCUAACCCAGACCCGUAAUCCGGGUCGGGGACCGUGCAUGGUAGGCAGUUUGACUGGGGCGGUCUCCUCCCAAAGAGUAACGGAGGAGUUCGAAGGUUACCUAGGUCCGGUCGGAAAUCGGACUGAUAGUGCAAUGGCAAAAGGUAGCUUAACUGCGAGACCGACAAGUCGAGCAGGUGCGAAAGCAGGACAUAGUGAUCCGGUGGUUCUGAAUGGAAGGGCCAUCGCUCAACGGAUAAAAGGUACUCCGGGGAUAACAGGCUGAUUCCGCCCAAGAGUCCAUAUCGACGGNNNNNNNNNNNNNNNNNNNNNUUUGGCACCUCGAUGUCGGCUCAUCACAUCCUGGGGCUGUAGUCGGUCCCAAGGGUAUGGCUGUUCGCCAUUUAAAGUGGUACGUGAGCUGGGUUUAAAACGUCGUGAGACAGUUUGGUCCCUAUCUGCAGUGGGCGUUGGAAGUUUGACGGGGGCUGCUCCUAGUACGAGAGGACCGGAGUGGACGAACCUCUGGUGUACCGGUUGUGACGCCAGUCGCAUCGCCGGGUAGCUAAGUUCGGAAGAGAUAAGCGCUGAAAGCAUCUAAGCGCGAAACUCGCCUGAAGAUGAGACUUCCCUGGGGAUUUAAUCCUCCUAAAGAGCCGUUCGAGACCAGGACGUUGAUAGGCAGGGUGUGGAAG